rnacentral:rRNA from 1 species
GACGAACGCUGGCGGCGUGCCUAAUACAUGCAAGUUGAGCGCUGAAGGUUGGUACUUGUACCAACUGGAUGAGCAGCGAACGGGUGAGUAACGCGUGGGGAAUCUGCCUUUGAGCGGGGGACAACAUUUGGAAACGAAUGCUAAUACCGCAUAAAAACUUUAAACACAAGUUUUAAGUUUGAAAGAUGCAAUUGCAUCACUCAAAGAUGAUCCCGCGUUGUAUUAGCUAGUUGGUGAGGUAAAGGCUCACCAAGGCGAAGAUACAUAGCCGACCUGAGAGGGUGAUCGGCCACAUUGGGACUGAGACACGGCCCAAACUCCUACGGGAGGCAGCAGUAGGGAAUCUUCGGCAAUGGACGAAAGUCUGACCGAGGAACGCCGCGUGAGUGAAGAAGGUUUUCGGAUCGUAAAACUCUGUUGGUAGAGAAGAACGUUGGUGAGAGUGGAAAGCUCAUCAAGUGACGGUAACUACCCAGAAAGGGACGGCUAACUACGUG